GAAGCCUGGUGUGCUGCAGUCCAUGGUACCUCAAAGAGUCAGACAUGACUGAGUGACUGAACUGAACUGAACUGAAUUCAUAUAUAUGUAUAUAUAGAUAAAUAUAUCUGUACUAAGGGGUAUGUAUUUGUACUACAUGUAUUGGUACUGAUACUUAGGGAAAAAAAAUAUCUGAAUAUUUGUAUUAUUGUAACCUCUACCUGAAUAUUUGUCUUGUUGCAACCCCAACCCGAAUCAUAAAUAUUUUUCUAAUCCUGAUUCUGAUGUAUCCUGUCCUCUUAUUUAGAUUAAAAUUUUUCUACUUUUCACUAAAUUUUUGCUACUUUUCAUUCUAGGGUUUUGCAAAUUUUAUGGAUUCUAAACAUGGAUUUAAGAAUUCCUUAAUUUUAGGUUUCCCUUUAUGUCUGUAAACUUCACAAUAUUCAAAGACUUCAAUAUACUUUCAAACCUUAUUGACUCUACCAAACCAGGUUUCAUUACCUAGUUUUACACGUGAGGUAAUUGAGGCUUAGAAAGGUGGAAUGAUUUACUCAAGCUCCCAUUAUGAGUGAGAAGCAGAAUUGGCAUUUGAACCCAUGUCAGUAGAUUCCCACAAUCUUGGUUUUAAGAGUGUGAUUUAAGAAGAAGAAAGUUAUACUACUUUAGGUCCAGGUAUUAGUGCUAUCUCAACAAAGCAAAAAUGUUUUCCAAAAAUAAAUAUGCUGAUGUAUUGAAAUUUGAACUUUCAAUAAAAUCAAUUUCUAACCUAUGCAUUUCUUUCUUUAAACUGUACUGCUAUCAAUAAAAUGUCUUCCUUGUUAGAUUUACUUACAUAGGAAUUCAUCUUCCAUUUUGAAACUCUUUUGAAACUUUUGUUUGAAAAACAGAGCAUUCUCUGUGUGGACAAAAACUGUUGCCUGUCACUUCAAUAAACAAAAAAUGUUGCCUUCCAUUCCCUUGAACAAAAGAUAUUUUGGCCAUCAAGCCAUCAGUCACUGAGCUGCCCCUGAUAGUAUACUCUGAGGGGCAUUCAAGAUGGAGAUAAAGAGGAUACUGGCCCUAGAUAGUUAAGAUGUGAACCCAGACUCCUGCAUCUUACCAUCUUUGGAAAGGCAAAAAAAAAAAAAAAAAAUCAUUAACUUGAGAUGUAUAUAUUGUGAUUAGCAACAAUCUUUGAAUGUUUUACUACAUUUUUUUUUCAGCAAAAAAAAAAAUCCUAUAUUACUUGGCUCCUCCCUUAUCCCUUUGGAAUAGUUUCUUAGAACUAUCUGAGAGGCUUUAUCCUGAGCUGUAGUAUUCAGGAAGCCAUUAAAUAAAACAUAAUUCUCAACUUCUAGGUGCUUUUUUUUUUUUUUUCAGUCAUCAGUUUUGGCAACCACAAAGGGAAACAAGCAGAUUUCUCUCUUUCAUCUGAACUCUAUGAGGAAUCAAAGCUUUGGUACCAGCAGAAGCCCUCUUGUGCCUGCUCACCUCCUUGGAGAGUCCAAAUUAAUUUGGGAAAAUAUCCUGUAUAUUCUGACUCCUCCUGGAACUCUUUGGAACAGCUUCUCAGAAAUAUCUGAGCAGUUGUAUCCUGGGCUAUAGUCCUCAGUGAGGUCACUGAAUAAAGCAUAAUUCUCAACUUU